rnacentral:lncRNA from 1 species
CCAGAGGUUGCGUAAUUGGGCGCCAUCUUGGAGGCAGACCGCAGCCCUUACCGGACCGCUGAAACUGCUAGCACCCUGAUAGCCGGCAGCCCAACCUCCAGAACUUUUCUUGCAGCUGACCCUGAAGAGGCUGUUAAGACCUGGCUGUCACCUCCAUAGCUGCUCAGAGGCAGGUGAGUCUGGUUCUCUGAUUCUCCCUCCUUGGAGGUGGGC